rnacentral:lncRNA from 1 species
CAAACGGUAGAGGUGACCGGUGGUGCAGGGAGUGGUGCUGUCAGAGGGCAGGUGGGCAAGUAGCUGAGUCGGCCGAAUUUAGGGGCUAGGGUUUUGGUUGGGUUAGCUUAGGGUUAGGGUAUUGGGCUGUUGUGUUUGAUGGUUUUGGGUUUAAAGUUUAUUUGUAAUUGGGUUGUGGGUUAAAGUUGGGUUUGGCUAAUUAGUUGUGUUGUAAAUGGGUUAAGGGUAAUAGUUGUAAAUGGGUCAAGGGAUUUGGGUGUAAACGAGCCAUUCGGGUUUGGGUAAUUGGGCUGGCUGAAUUGGGUUUAAAUGUGUUAAUGGGUCUUAGGGAUUGGGUUAUUUUGUAAAUGGGUUAAAUUGGGUUAUGGGUUAAGGUUUGUAAAAAUGUAACUGGGCCAAAAUAGGCCUAUAACAGCUGCCCCUCUUUGCUCGUUGUCGUGUAACGGGAAUAGAGCAAAGAUAUAAAGAAAGGCCAAUUUUGCCCAGUCUUGCUGAGUCUUGACUUCUUUGGUGCUCUUUUUGUUCAGGCAGUCUCUUUCUAACCCACCCUACCUUGUAGCUUUGGUUCAAUCCACCGUAUCUUCUGAUAUACGCCUUGUAGUUUCGAUCUUCUCCAAUGUAACUUCAAGAAUAUGAGAUUUGUGGCUUCGAUCUGCUUCGAUGCAGCUUCAUAAAGAUCAAGUCUACAACUUCGAUCCAUUUCUCUAUCGCUUCAGUGAGAUGAGGUUUGUGAUAUUCUCUUCUGUAACUUUAGAAAGGCAAGAUUCAAUAUCCUUGAUCAGCUCCACUGCAACUUCAGGGGGACAAGACUUGCAACUCUGACCUGCUCCACUGCAACUUCAGGGAGGUCAAUUCUGGUGUCUUUAAUCAACCUCAAUCUUUAUUCUUUACUCGGCAUGUGAUCUUGAGCUCAACCCAUUUCUCGCAAUAUGAAUUGACUCUUAUCAUGUGACCCGAGGUUCAACUCACCUCUCGCAAUAUGAGUUGAUUUUUUUUGAAAAGUAUAAAUUAAACAAAAUUUGAAAAUACCUCAGCAUGUCUUGAGGCUCAACUCACCUCUCGCAAUAUGAGUUGAUUUUGGAAAAGUAGAAAUUAAAGACAGAAUUUGAACACAGAAUUUGAAAAUACCUCAGCAUGUGACCUGAGGCCCCAACUCACUUCUCGCAAUAUGAGUUGAUUUUUUGAAAAGUAAAAAUUAAAAAUACCUCAACGUGUCUUGAGGCUCAACUCACCUCUCGCAAUAUGAGUUGAUUUUUUUUGAAAAGCAGAAAUUGAAAAUUCCUCAGUGUACCCUGAAGUUCAACUCAUUUCUUGCAAUAUGAGUUGAUUUUUUUUAAAGAAUUUGCAAAACAAACUUUGAAAAUAACUCGGCAUGUGGCCUGAGGCUCAACUCACCUCUCGCAAUAUGAGUUGAUUUUUUGAAACAUAAAUUGAAAAUACCUUAACGUGUCCUGAGGCUCAUCUCACCUCUCGCAAUAUGAGUUGAUUUCUGAAACUUAAAAGCAGAAAUUGAAAAGAAGAAAUUGAAAAUACCUCAGCGUGCCCUGAGGCUCAACUCACCUCUCGCAAUAUGAGUUGAUUUCUGAAAACAGAAUCAAAAUACCAAAAACCUGUCAUCUAGUGGAACUCAGGUGUCUUUUCCUUUGGUUCAAUAUAGCUAUCAUCACAUCUUCUUGCUAUACUGGAGUACCUGUAUAUGUCAUGCAUGAUGUUAUCAUGAUAUGCACAUGUUGGUCUUAAAUAUCUUUAUGCCUACAUGAUUAUGCUAUGUGCCUUAAGCGUGUUAGUCGUAUGUCCCUUUCCGUCAUGAUUUUUGAUUAUCUGCGUUCAUUACUUUGACUCUUGACUUUCUCUUCAGGCCCUGUACCUGUCCUCAAGCUUCACGAAUAAUCUGCGUUUCUCAGAUAUCGCUCUUUUGCCCCUGGUUGAACUUUGUCCUUGCAUUGAGGCUCUUGUACUUAUCAAAUUCUUAACUGGGUAAUGCUUAACAUUUCUUUUGUUUAGAGCAUGUCAUUUCACUAUUUAUCAUGUAAAUAAACUACAUAAUGAGAUGCAUGAAAAUGGUCAGGUAGGGCCAAAAGGAUACCUCACAUUUAUUUAUUUCAAAUGUAGCAAACAAAGAAGGUUAAUCAAUGAUAGUAAAAAAAAGUGUCAUAAAGAGAAAAGGGAUCGCAUUCAAAAAAUACAAAUGCUCUAGAUAUUCAACGCAUGAACUCUUCCCCGUUCCUCAAUCAAGAAUCUUUUCGAGCAUGGCUUCUUGCAUAGAAGAUUUUGAGCUUUCAGAAAUGCUUCAAAUACUGUAGUCUCACUGUGUGACCCACCGUUCAAAACGCCUUGUUCUUUAAACCCGGGUUUGCUUCAUUAGAAUGCCCUUUCGGGUUUUCAUCCUAAUCUUUUGUGUUAAUCAAGACACCCUUUUCGGGUUUUCACCUUGAUCUUUUUUUUAAGAUGCACUUUUUUGGGUUUUCAUCUUGAUUUUCUUUUUCUUCAAGCAUAAUAUUUCUUCACACAUCUGAGUUCACUGGAUUCGGUAACUCCUUCCCAUCCAUCUUGGUGAGAAUUAAAGCUCCACCCGAGAAUGCCUUCUUUAUGACGUAUGGUCCUUUCCAAUUUGGUGCCCAUUUUCCUCGCAGGUCCUUUUGUAUUGGGAGAAUCUUUCUCAGCACAAGUUUUCCUUCAUGGAAUUCUCUUGGUCGUACCUUCUUGUCAUGGGCCGUGAUCAUUCUCUUCUGGUACAUCUGUCCAUGACAGAUUGCCUUUAAGCAUUUUUCUUCGAUAAGAUUUAACUGGUCAUAUCGAGCUCGAACCCAUUUUGCUUCUUCUAGUUUCGAUUCCAUUAAGACUCGUAAAGAUGGGAUCUCAACUUCGAUAGGUAGCACAGCUUCCAUCCUAUAGACCAGAGAGAAAGGAGUUGCCCCCGUAGAUGUCCGUACAGAUGUGCGAUAUGCAUACAAAGCAAAUGGUAGCUUUUCGUGCCAAUCUUUAUAUGUCUCGGUCAUUUUCCCAAUGAUCUUCUUAAUAUUCUUAUUGGCUACUUCAACAGCUCCGUUCAUUUUUGGAUGAUAGGGUGAUGAGUUAUGAUGCUUUAUUUGAAAUUGUUCACACACUUCUUUCAUCAUCUUGUUGUUCAGGUUCAUGGUGUUAUCUGAAAUGAUUCUUUCAGGCAAACCAUAUCGACAAAUGAUUUCCUUUUUCAAAAACCUGCAAAUUGCAGUCUUCGUCACAUUGGCAAACGAAGUGGCUUCUAUCCAUUUUGUGAAGUAAUCAAUAACCAUAAAAAUGAAUCAGUGUCCAUUAGAAGCUUUUGGGGAAAUUAGCCCUAUAACAUCCAUGCCCCACAUGGAAAAAGGCCACGGAGAAGUCAUGACAUGAAGGGGCGAAGGGGCUACAUGAAUCUUAUCGCCAUAAAUUUGACAUUUGUGGCAUUUUCGUGCAAAACUAAUGCAGUCACUUUCCAUCGUCAACCAGUAAUAACCGAGUCUCAUAAUCUUCCUGGCCAUAGUGAAACCAUUGGCGUGUGUCCCACAAAUUCCCUCAUGGACAUCUUCAAGUAUCUUUCUAGCUUCAGCAUCAUCCACGCAUCUCAAGAGCACUUGAUCUUUCCCUCUUUUGUACAGGAUGUCCCCAUCAAGAACAAAUCCAGCUGCCAUUCUUCUAAUUGUUCUUUUGUCGUUCUCAUUUGCUUGUUCGGGAUACCUUUGAUUCUUGAUGUAUUCUAAGAUAUCAUGGAACCAUGGCUGUCCAUCUGGCUCUUUCUCAAUGCUGAAACAAUGUGCAGGGACUUCAUAUAUGCUUAUUUGAAGAGGCAUUAUUUAUGUUUCUUUGUUCGCUUUGAACAUUGAGGCCAAAGUGGCCAGGGCAUCAGCCAAUUGGUUUUCUUCUCGCGGGAAGUAAUUAAAAGUUAUUUAUUUGAAUUCUUUAAUCAGCUCUGCCACUAGAUCACUGUAUUUGGCUAAUUUUGAAUUCCUCACUUCCCAAUCUCCAUGGAUUUGGUAAAUCACUAAUGCUGAGUCUUCGUAUACCUCUAAAGUUUUGAUGUUUCGUUCAAUUGCUGCACGAAGUCCCAUGAUACAAGCCUCAUAUUCCGCUAUGUUAUUGGUACAGAAGAAGUUUAAUCUGGCAGUGAAUAGAUAAUGGUUCCCUUCUGGUGAUAUUAAGACUGCUCUAAUCCCAUGCCCCAAUGCGUUCGACGCACCGUCAAAACUCAUCUUCUAUGGCUUCUCUUUUGAUGACUUGGAUUCCUUUUCUGUGAUGCACAUUAAGUCUUCAUCUGGGAAAUCAAAUCUAAAUGGCUCGUAUUCAUCCAUUGUUCGAGUUGCUAAGAAGUCAGCUAUUGCACUUCCUUUUAUCGACUUUUGGCUCACAUAAACAAUGUCGUAUUCUGAUAGUAAGAUCUGCCAUUGUGCCAUUCUUCCUGAGAGUGCAGGUGAUUCCAUCAUGUACUUUAUUGGAUCUAGCUUUGAAAUUAACAAUGUUGUAUGAUACAACAUAUACUGCCUGAGUCUCCGAGCUACCCAAACCAGAGCACAACAGUAUUUUUCAAUGGACAAAUACCUUGCCUCAUAUUCAGUAAACUUUUUGCUGAUGUAGUAGAUCGCAUUUUCUUUCUUUCCUGACUCGUUGUGUUGCCCUAGUAUGCAACCCAUUGAAUUUUCGAACACAGUCAAAUACAAUAUCAAUGGUCUUCUCGGAGUUGGCGGUACUAGCACUGGAGGACUAGACAAAUACUGUUUUAUCUUAUCAAAGGCCAUCUGGCAUUCUUCAUUCCAUUCUUCGGGAUUAUGUUUUCGAAGGAGUCGAAAAAUUGAGUCACACUGGUUGGUAAGUUGAGCAAUGAAUCGGGCGAUGUAGUUUAAUCGCCCUAAAAAUCCUCUGACUUCCUUUUACGUGCGCGGAAGUGGUAACUCUUGAAUGGCUUUUAUUUUAUCUGGAUCAACCUCGAUACCUCUUUCACUGACAAUGAAGCCUAGCAACUUUCCCGAGGUAGCCCCAAACGUACAUUUGGCUAGAUUAAGCUUUAGCUGGAACUUUCUCAACCUUCCGAACAACUUUUUGAGAUUCACUACAUGCUCUUUUUCCCCUCGGGAUUUAGUAAUCAUAUCAUCUACGUAGACCUCUAUUUCUUUAUGCAUCAUGUCAUGAAAUAACGUUACCAUAGCCCUCUGAUAUGUUGCCUCAGCAUUCUUUAACCCAAAUGGCAUCACCUUGUAGCAGAAUGUUCCCCACAUUAUUACGAAGGUAGUUUUCUCCAUAUCCUCAAGGGUCAUCUUGAUCUGAUUAUACCCCGAGAAUCCAUCCAUGAAAGAAAAUAAUGAAUGUUUUGUUGUGUUAUCCACCAACGUGUCAAUGUGUGGUAAGGAAAAAUUAUCUUUAGGACUUGUUCGGUUCAGGUCACGAUAAUCCACGUACAUUCGUACUUUGUCGUCUUUCUUUGGUACCGGGACUAUGUUAGCCACCCAUUCUGGAUAUUUGGAGGCCUGUAAGAAGCCAGCAUCAAAUUACUUGUUGACUUCCUCUUUUAUUUUCAACAACAUCUCAGGUCUCAUCCGUCUUAGCUUUUGUUGAAUGGGUUUGCAUUCUGGCUUCAAUGGGAGCUUAUGGACCACUACAUCUUCAUCUAAUCCUAGCAUGUCUUGAUAUGACCAUGCAAAUACAUCUUUGUACUCACGGAGCAAAGCAAUCAAAUUAUGCCUGGUGCCCCCUGAAAUAGAGGUGCCAAUCUUCACUUCUUGCUUCCUUUCUUCAGUUCCCAAAUUUAUUGUUUCAACAGAUUCUUGAUGAGGCAAAAUCUGUUUAUCCUCUUGUUCCACCAUUCUUAGCAAGUCAGGAGACGAGACAUAGUCUUUAGCAUUUUCUUCAGCUUUGAAUUCUCUUAAAUAAACAGCCUUCUCAAAAUCAAUUUCAUGACUCGUAAUGGGUUUGUUCAUGCCGUUGAUAUCUAAGCACCUGAAAGUUGAAUGGAAAAGGAAACUAUAGAGGAGCAUCAAAGUAUUGGGACCAACAGGCAUGAUGUGAAACAUAUGCAAUGACAGACUGUGAAAAGAAGGAAAAAUUAUGAAGUUAAUGAGAAUGUAAAGACUAUGACAAAAUACAUCUUCAUUAAUGUUCAUUUUAAUGAUAAAGAGCGAAUCAUAAGCUCUUACAAAAGAAUCCCUCUAUUUACUUAGGGACACACAAAAAGAAUAGUGUUAAUAUUGAGCAUUACUCUGGAGAAAAUUUAGAAACUACAAGGAACUCACAGCAGUCCAAUUGUUCAAAACAAAUCCAGGAGGACAAGGGCGUAUCGUUAAAACAUCUUUAAUUGCAUCACUUCAUUUGUCAAUGACAUUUAUACUGACAUUCUGAAGACCCAUUUCAAUUAAUAACAUCGUGCUUCGUGGAUUAUCUUGUCCGGGGUAUAUCAUUCUUACAGAUGUAAAUGUUUUUUACAAAGGAGGGUACGUUGUAGGCUCCCAUUCUAUUUCUCGGCCCAAAGUUCUCGCAAUCCUUCUCUCUUGAUCCUUCUUUCACUGUUUUCUUCUUUGACGCACAUCUGGUUGGAACCCUAAACUGUAUCGAGCUUUGUGAUGUACCGGCUUUAAGGCCCUGACUAUUCCUUGCAGAUACCUUCCCAAACCUUUCCUUUCUCGGGCUCCUCUUUCCACAGUCAUCUUGAUACUCAUCCUGGUAUUUCUUGACAAUUUUAGCGCGGGAAUUUUAUUUCCCUCAGCGACGAAUAUGGCAUUGAUAAAUUCAAGGGAUCGGAAGGAACAUUCUAUAGCAUAUUUACUCACUUCAAUGUAUGGUGCAUCGGUAGAAAUAAAUGCUACAAUAUCUUCUUCUCCCUCGACAGUGACCAAACAGUCAUCCAUGAUAAAUUUCACCUUUUGAUGGAGGGAUGAUGAGACUGCUCCAGCGGAAUGGAUCCAAGGUCUUCCCAAAAGGCAAUUGUAUGAUAGUGUAAUGUCCAUGACUUGAAACUCGACAUCAUAUAUAUAGAGACCCACUUCUAAGGGGAUCUCGAUUUUUCUCAUGGCUUCUCGUCUUGUUCCAUCGAAUGCCCUUACUGUAGAAUGGCAAGGCCUUAGAUAGGACAAAUCCAUCGGAAUCCUGGAAAGUAUGGCCAAAGGCAUGACGUUGAGUGCCGAUCCAUUGUCGACGAGCACGUUCGGUAUUAUAUAACCUUUGCAGCGGGUUGUGAUAUACAAUGCUUUCACGGAGCCUCUACCAUUGGGUGGUAUUUCAUCAUCACUAAAAGAAAUGAAAUAAUCUGCGUUUAGGUUAUUCACUCAUCUGUCAAGCUUCUCAACGGAUAUAUUGUUUGCCACGUAAGCUUGAUUCAACACCUUUAACAAGAUGUUUCGGUGUGGCUUUGAAUUUAACAGUAGAGAUAAUACUGAGAUUCGUGCUGACUGCUUACUCAAUUGUUCCAUCACGUUGUACUCACUGCGCUUGAUAAAUUUUAAGAAUUUCUGUGCUUCCUCCUCGUCUAUAGGCUUUUAGCUUCUUGUUCAGGCACGGUUUCAUGCUUAUCUUCGGUCACGUGUAUCGGUGCUUUUCCUUUCUGUUUCAAGUCACUAUUCUUCUUCACAGGUUCGACCUCUUUCGAAUAACAUCUCCCACUACGAGUGAAAUGACCUACUUCCCCAACACUUCCAGUAUGGUUUUGGGUUUUUUGUCUUCAGGUGUGACGAUAUUGACGUCGUAUUUCCAUGGUACUGCUUUAUUGUCCUUGUAGGGGAAAUGAGAUGGUACUUCGAUUAUCACUUUUGGUUUCACCGGUUCCUUCUUCGUGUCAUAAUAGAUUAUUAACGGUCGGUCGGCGCUAUACGGGAAACUUGAUGAUUGAUUGUCAGAGCCGCAUAUUUCUCCUUUAUCGGCCUCUUUACCUUUAUAAAAAAUCCCAAUUCCCUUAUUAUCCAUCAUAUUUUGCAGUAAUCUCCUGAACUCCUUGCAAGAUUGAAUUUCGUGCCCCUCAAUUCCAUGGAAUUUGCAAAAACUUUGACCUUUUACAUUUCUUCCUUCGAAUACUCUGUUAAGAUGACAGAGCAACCCUUUUUCAACUAGCACCUCCCAGAUUUUCUACAGAGGUGUUCUUAUUUCAGAAACCCAUCUUCUACUUUGUCGUUUGUCCUCCUCUCCCACUUCGCUCACAUUCCCUUCGAUGUGGUUUGAGAAUGGGUUCCCGGUCGUACCACCAGUACCAUCAAAUCGCAGAAUGGCCGCAUCGAUGAGUCCUUGAACUCUCCUUUUGAAGGUAAGACAAUUCUCCGUAGAAUGCCCCUGGUUCCCGGCAUGGUAUGCACAACUAGCAUUUGGAUCGUACCAUUUCGGGUAUGGAGGUUUAAGGGGUGCCAUGUAAUGGGGAGAUAUUAAUUGCUUCUCCAAGAGUUUUGGGUACAGUUCCCCAUACGACACAAGAAUAGGGGUAAAUUGCGGUCUCUCGGGAUUGGGCCUUGCUGGUCUUGGUUCAUUUUUGGGUUGGCUUUGAGCGGGUAGAGUGUUUUGUGGGAAUGUGGUGACGGGCCUUUGGUUGUUCGUGGCGUAUACGAGGUAGGAAGGAGGUGGUGCUUGGUAGUAAGGGGUCUGAGGAGGAUAAUAAAAAUUCGGAGGAGGAUAAUUUUGAGGUCGGGGUUGGUUUGGAUAUGGAUUAGGGGUAUAACGGCUUCUCAUUCCCACCAUAUGGACUUCUGGUUCUUUCUUCUUUAUGAGCGUUGCCCUUUUUGAACUUUCUGAACCUUCCAUCCUCCCACUUUUGAUGGCAUUCUCAAUAAGUUCUCCGGAUAUUACGAUAUCCGAAAAAUCCUUCGUAGCACUUCCCACCAGUUUGUCAUGAAAGGCGUUUUUAACGUGUUGAUGAAAAGGACCGUUAUCUCAGUCUUAGUCAAAGGAAGCUCCACUUGGGCUGAGAUAUCUCUCCAUCUUUGCGCAUACUGUCUAAAGGUUUCUGCUGGUUUCUUUUUCAUCAUUUGUAGAGUCAUUCGAUCGGGCACCAUAUUGGAUACAUGCUUGUACUGCUCACAGAAUGCUGAUGCCAAGUCCUUCUAGGAUCGGAUCUUUUCUCUACUAAGCUGGUUAUACCACCGAAGAGCUGACCCUACUUGACUAUCCUGAAAACAAUGUAUGAGUAGCUUAUCUUCGUUUACAUAACCGGUCAUUUUCUGGCAAAUCAUGACAAGAUACGCUUUUGGACAUCUUGUCCCAUCGUACUUCUCAAAAUCAGGCACCUUGAACUUCGGAGGAAGAAUUAGAUUGGGUACCAAACUGAGUUCUUUAGCACCUAGUGCGGAAAAGACUUCAGUGUCUUCUAUCGCUUUGAGUCUUUCCUCUAAGCUCCUAUACUUCUCUUGAGUCUCGUGAUCAUCGGUUUUCAACUUGGCUAUUUCUGCUGGAUCGUCCAAAUCUGGAAUGAGUGGAUCAGCAGGACUAGCCCCCGGGUUUGAUACGAACAUUCUUUGUCCCAGAUUAGCAGGUGGCACCGGUCGUUGCUCCAGGCCUGUAGGUUCCUAUUGAGCGUACCCUCUUCGUGUUGCAUGGGCGUGCGGUGGAGUAAAUCCUGGAGGAUAGGGCAGAUCCUGAUCGAGGUUAACCCUUGACUGUGGUUCCACAAUGUUAGGGUUCAUAGGUCCCUUUCCUUUUACCAGAGCUGACAUCAUUUCCAUCAUCUUGGCCAUUUGGUCCUUUUGUUCAAGCGAUUCUUCCCGAGAUCUCACCAUUAAAUCCCUUGUCUCUUGAUGCGACUUGGCCAACUGCUCUUGUAAUUCCUUUUGAAUUCUUUCCAUCCUUUCAAUCCUUUCAUUGAAUUCAGCCUCCAUUACUCUAACUUGUCGGCGUGUCCUAUACAAAUGACAUGGUUCCAGUCUUGUGGUUUUACAACUGCGAAUUGUAUGUUUUAACCUCAGCGAACGAUUAUGGGAUAUGCAAUGAAUGAAUGAAUGAAUGAAUGAAUGAAUGAAUGCAUAAAUGUCAAAUGAAUGUUAGUUAUGCAUGAAUAUGCAAGAAUUUAGUGUUGAUUUCAAUACGGCCCCUAUUUAGGCAUUUUAUUUAUCAAAAGAGUCCAUUACAAAAUAUUUUUCCAUUUUCGAUUCGGCCAUUACACAAACUUCCUAGCUAUAUCGCCAUAUUCAUGUACUCGUGCUAAGAAUUCUGAUAUGUUUGAUCUUCGAUUUAGAGGGAAUUGGGAAAUGAGAAUUUCAGCUUCUUCCGAUAAUUGUACCACGUGCAUGGCUACCCCACGAACUUCAUUGAUCAAAUAGGUAAGUUGCAUUUCUUUUUCUUGGAGGUCCUCUUCGUAGGCACGAAUGUCUCUAUCAUACUGAUUAUUCUUUUCUUCCAAAGCCUCAAAGAGAGUAUCUAGCUGUUGUUGACAAUCUUGCAGCAUGUCUUCUAACUCUCGUAUCCUCUCUUUUAGUUCUUGACGUUUAGAUCGACUAGUCAUUACCUCGGCAGACACAGCUUCAUAUUCGGCGUUCUUCUUCCUUAUCUCCAUCAUAGCCUGCACAGCCUUUUCUUCUUCUUUCUUCGCUUUCCCUUUCCAGAAUUUCGUCCCGCCUUUAAUGUUGUUUAUUUCUUCUUUCCAUUCUGCCGACGACUUGCCUAGCCCACUAUUCUUUAUUUUGCAUCUUAACUUCUUAUUUUCCAGAUGAAGGUCUCUUAAGUCAUUUCUUACGACUUCAACUUUUUUUUGCACUUUCUCGAUUUUGGACCUUUCAAUCUGAACGUCGAUCUUCAACUGGUAAUUUUCUUCUUGCAGAGCACUGAGGUCCCUUGACAUCUUGGUCUUUUCGCGUUCAAACUCUUGUCUUGCCACUUCUAACUCGGACGGCAUUUCCUUCAAGAAGGGAUUCUGAAAGGCGUAAAUCAUUGACAAAACUCGCUGGCUAUUCACCCGUUGCAUUCUCCAUACGUCGUAAUCUUGAGUGAGAGUAUCAGCACACAGGGCCAACUCCAUCAGAUGAACUUCCUUCCAAGAUUUUGUAGCGCCUCGGACCCUCUUCAUAUAGCCUUCACCCGCAAAAGCAAACUCGGACUGCGCUAAUCCUCUAGUGGCAGGUAUAAAUUGUCGUGAAGAAAAUUGCCUCUGGACCAUUAACGGAGCGUAUCCAAUUCCUCCCUAUAACCCGAGCAGUGGUACCCAAUCUUGAUUUCCAAUCUUGUAUAACAGAACUGACGGGCGUAUCCACGGUGCUCUCCAAGUUACACCUUCAGCUCGAAGGUUCUGAAAAACUGAAACCCAAUGCUCUUUAGUGACAUCCUUUGGCCAUUUUCUCUCAAGAUAGGCUUCCAACGGGGCGAAAUUUUUUGAAAACAUGUGGUACAGUGUGCGCUCUACUUUCCAGAAAUGGCUCAAAAUCCAGACACUAAGUAACUGCGCGCAUCCGAUAAAUCGUCCUUCCCCUUUCCUCCGACAACUACUCAGAGAUCUGAAGGUCUCGGCUAGGAUAGUCGGGAUAGGGUUGAUUCAUUUUUUUAAUUUUUCGAAGAAAUCCACCACCGCAACUUCUAUGUGUCUAAGGACUUUCGGGAAGAUGAUCAAACCGUAAAUGGCCAAAGCGAAUAGAUUUACCCUUUUCAACAUGUCGGGAUGGUUCAGAACCAAUUCUCGUAGGGAAGACCAUGGAAUGCAAAUGGUUUCAUUCUUCUUUUUUAUCUGUUUUUCGGCCCAUGCGUCAAUCAUGUCUGUCAAUCUCACUAACUUUUUUCUUGAAGGUCAUCGAUUUAGGCUCCUUCACAUAUACUUUAUAGAGUUGCGCAUUUUCAACACGAAGCAAAGCAACGUACUCCUCUAUAGUCGGAGUCAUAUCUUCUUGAUUGAAGGUAAAAUAUUGGUAAGCCGGAUCCCAAAAUCUGACCAUGGUUUGGAUCAAUCGUUCGUCUACGUUGACAGCAAUCAAGUUGGCUAUGUCCCCAUAUCUUUCAGUGAAGAUACCCCUAGUGUUUGAGUCACACUGAUUCCAAACCCGAACCAAAUCUUCAAGGUUAUUCUGGCGAACAUUCACGGUUACGUACUCGGGCAGACUGGCAAUACAUCCCUCCACUAGACUAUCCCCUUUUUCUUUCUGAGUUUUUAGAGACCAGUCCCGAAUCACGGCAUUCUUCUCGGUUGUUUGUAUAAUUGACUUUUCUAUUAGAAACUCAUUUUUUGGCAACCGAUCUCUAGUCAACACCCUCCUAAUAUGAUGCCUAUGAUGCAUGAUGAAAAAGAUAAAAAUAAAGACAAACGAACUUGGUUAGUAACCACAACAAAUAUGAACUGAGAAAAACUAUAGAAAUUCCAACAAAUUAAGCUACUCGGUCCAAUAGACCCGAUUCUUUUGCAAAGUAUAAAUAUAAAAGUAAUGAAAGGUAAGAGGCGUUUCUCUCGUGUACUUAUUUUGGUGACUAUUAACGGACAAAGGUUCGGUAUAGCUCUAAUUAGGUAGCUCGUACGGUUCACUAUAUGCGGUUUCGGUUCUAGAUAGGUACUCGAAUUGUUCGUACUAUCGUCUACUGAGACUAGUAUGAAGCCUCGAUCGUAGCUGAUCACAGGCUCACGAGUUCAAUUCGAGGGAUUACAUUUACUUAUACCUAUGCGGAGGGACAAGUUAACUCACGAAAGCAUAAGUCAUAUGUAACCUGAAAGUAUUCACUAGCUUGUGCGGAAGGACGAGUUAACUCACGAAGGCAUAGCGUUUACUUUCACUUAAACGGACGGAGCCGGGGUAGAGAGCUUAUGUUAUGCAAAUAUGCAAGUGCGCGGUGUGUGGGGAGAAACUCACAAACCUUUACGUUUUAUUAAAAAACUAAACUAAAAAAACUAAAAAACUUAGAGCUGAAAAUCAACAAGAUAAAAUAAAUUAGAAGAAUAUUUACAGCAUGAUGCAAAUGCAUGAAUUUUUUCGAAAACAAAUUUUGAAGAUCACGACUAAAUAUUAAUUUGAACAAGGAAGUUCAAAAAUUUGACAACACGUGUUUAAUCCGACUCGACUCUCAAAAAUGUUUCCCUAGCGGGGUCGCCAGCUGUAGCGACAUAAAAAUUUUGCUUUCGGUCGCUAAUUGUGGCGAUUUAGUGAAAACUUGAAAACUAAAGUUUAAUUUUGAAAUAAAGUGGGAGUCGCCACCGAUCCUUUUUCCUAGGUGUGAUCGGACACCUAUUAGAUUUCUUUUUUUAAAACAAAAAGAAGGCCGAGUUUAGGUCUACGUCAAAAGCCAGAGAAAAAUUAGGGUUCGGGAGUCGGUUACGCGCGAGGAAGGUAUUAGCACCCUCGCGACGCCCAAAAUUGGUAUCUUGUUAAACACGUGUUGUCUUGAUUUUCAAAAAUACGAGUUUAAUGUAAGAUUUAGUCGUGAUCCGGUUAAAACACGAGAAUUUUUAAUAACUUUUUUUGGAUUUUUGAAAAGGAAAUACCGUUUUAACACGAUUCAAUUGAUGUUCACCCAACAUAGCGAUGAAAUCGAUGACUUAAUGUUAAACCGAUAAGUUUCCUUGCUUAUUGGAAUUAAUUAGAAAAAGAUGUACAUAAUACAAUAAAAGUGUAUAUACGUAUGUGGUAAAGUGUUAGAAAAUGUACAUGACAUAUAUAAAAUAAGGUGUUUAAAAUACAUGCAUAAUAUAGAUAUUAAAAAAAUAUAUACAUAAGAUAGUACAAGAACAUUAAAACGUAUAUAUACAUGACUAACAUAAUAUGGUAAAAAAAUCUAUGUAAUAUAGUAUCGAAAAUAUAUACAUGACAUGUAUGAGAGUAAAAUAACUAAAGGAUACAUAUAUGGAAUAUAUACAUCUAUAAUAAAAACAUGUGUAUAUAUUAUCGUGCUAAAAUACUUACAUAGUAAACAUCUGUUAGAAAUAAUAAUAAUGUUCAAAAAAACAACCAUUAAUAUUACAUAAAUAUGCUCACAUAUACAUAUAUAUAUUUACAAAUUACGUAAUAAUAAAAUACGUACAUACUAUACACAUAUAAUAUAGUUAUUACGAAAAUACAUACCAUAUAUAAUAUUAAGAAUGAAAAAUACACCAUUAAGAGAUAUACAUAUACGUACAGUCGAUAAAGAUGUAUGCACAAAACACACACUAAUAUUAAUAACGAUGAUAGGAGUAGUGAAGAUAUAUACAUGAGAUAAUAUAAAAAAUAUAGUAUUCAAAAUAUGUACAUGAUAUAUAUAAAAGUACAAUAUUAAAAGAUAUAUACGUAAUAUAUAAAAUGUAUACAUAAUAUAUAGAAAAAAUAAUAUUUAAAAAGAAUAAUAUACAUAAUGCAAGAAUAUUUAAAAUAAUUAAUAAAAUAAUAAUAAUAAGAUGAAUAAAUAAAAAAAUACAUAUGUAAUAAUAUAGUAAGAAAUUAAUCUACUUAUAAUAAGUACUAAAAAAACAUUAAUAUGUAUGUACGUAUUUAAGAAUAGUGAAAAUAAUAAACAUAAAUAUAGAUAUAAUAAUAGAAAUGAUAAUACUAUAUAAAAAAGAAUAUAUAUUCAUACAUAAUAAAAUAUACACUAGUAUUAAUAAUGAAAAUAAUAUUACAAUACCAAUAAUGACAAUAUGAAAUUAAAGUAACUAAGUAUAAUACCAUAUAUAUAUACGUAUGCAUAUAUAAUGCAAACAUACACUAAAAAUAAUAAAUAUAUUGAUAACAUUAAUAAUAUUAGAAUAAUAAAAACAAUAUUUAAUAAAGAAACAAAAAUGAAUAAGAAAGGACUAAAAUUGGACUGUUAACAAAGUGUUGGGGCAAAUUUAAAAGGAAAUAAAGGAAGAAGGGCCCAAUUGCACAUGCGCUGAAAACAUCAGGGGGUGAAAGAGCAAAUUCCCCAGGCAUUUAAAACACUCAGCAUUGAACAGGGUUAAAUUGUGAAACGCUACAAACUUUAGGGUCAAUUUAUAAAUAAAUAUAAAGUAAAUUGUAGAACGCUUUAAAAGCGGAAGGGUCAUUCGCACAAUUAGACCCUUCCGCAAAAACACGCGGAUCCUAGCCCCAACAGGUCGGGUAAUCGGGCUAAAGGCUUAAACGACGUUGUUUUGGGGCUUAAGUACAGCUCCCAAAACGAUGUCGUUUCGGAGGGUUAUAAAUAGGCUUAUUUUUAGAAAAAAAAUCAUUUGCGAAGGGGGAAAAGAAAACAAAAGAGAGAAGAAGGGAGAGGAAGAGAGAGGAGGGAGAGGGGAAAGGAAAGAGGGGCCUACCAGCCAUAGGCCAGCCACCGGUCGGUCACCGGACCACCGUGUCACCGGUGCCGGCCACCGCGGAAGUUCAAAAGGUGAUUUUUUUUAUUUUUGAAUUUUUUUAUGUUAAUAUGUUCUAAUAUAUAUAUAGGUGAAAAAAAAGGUCUAAAAACGAAAUUAAAAAUAGAAAAAAUAAAAAUCACCUUAAUGUCUGAUGCCUGUGUUUUGGUUACUGGAUUGAUGCUAUUCUCGUGUUUUCCUUAUAUAUUUUUUGAAUCUGCUUGUGUGUAUUGGAAUAUCCUUGGUAUUGAUACAAAAUCCCCCCUUUUUUUACAGCAUUUCAUUCGGGUUUUAUAACCCUUUUACAACUGUUUUUUAUAUUGCUUCUAUCUUGUCUGAUUGCAGGGAAUGGGCAAACGGUGAAGGUGACCGGUGGUGCAGGGAGUGGUGCUGUCAGAGGGCAGGUGGGCAAGUAGCUGAGUCGGCUGAAUUUAAGGGCUAAGGUUUUGGUUGGGUUAGCUUAGGGUUAGGGUAUUGGGCUGUUGGGUUUGAUGGUUUUGGGUUUAAAGUUUAUUUGUAAUUGGGUUGUGGGUUAAAGUUGGGUUUGGUUAAUUAGUUGUGUUGUAAAUGGGUUAGGGGUAAUAGUUGUAAAUGGGUCAAGGGAUUUGGGU